UACGUAGGGAGCAAGCGUUGUUCGGAUUUACUGGGCGUAAAGGGCGCGUAGGCGGCGCGGUAAGUCACUUGUGAAAUCUCUGAGCUUAACUCAGAACGGCCAAGUGAUACUGCAGUGCUAGAGUGCAGAAGGGGCAAUCGGAAUUCUUGGUGUAGCGGUGAAAUGCGUAGAUAUCUGGAGGAACACCGGUGGCGAAGGCGGCAUCCUGGACCGAUACUGACGCUGAGGAGCGAAAGCCAGGGGAGCAAACGGG
rnacentral:rRNA from 1 species